UGAGAUAAAGUGUAAAGCACAUUAAAUUUUGGGUUUAAAAGUUAAAUCUCAU
rnacentral:tRNA from 1 species